rnacentral:rRNA from 1 species
GACAGAGGCCUCAAGCGUUAGGCGGAAUCACUGGGCUUAAAGCGUGUGUAGGCGGAUCGUUAAGUGUCUUGUGAAAUCCCACGGCUCACCCGUGGAACUGCUGGGCAUACUGGCGAUCUUGGGCCAACUAGGGGCAGCCGGAACAAGCGGUGGAGCGGUGAAAUGCGUAGAUAUCGCUUGGAACGCCGAAGGUGAAAACAGGCUGCUGGGGUUGCGCCGA